GAGCCAGACUCCUACGGGAGGCAGCAGUGGGGAAUAUUGCACAAUGGGGGAAACCCUGAUGCAGCGACGCCGCGUGAGCGAUGAAGUAUUUCGGUAUGUAAAGCUCUAUCAGCAGGGAAGAAAAUGACAGUACCUGACUAAGAAGCCCCGGCUAACUACGUGCCAGCAGCCGCGGUAAUACGUAGGGGGCAAGCGUUAUCCGGAUUUACUGGGUGUAAAGGGAGCGUAGACGGCAAUGCAAGCCAGAUGUGAAAGCCCGGGGCUCAACCCCGGGACUGCAUUUGGAACUGUGUAGCUGGAGUGUCGGAGAUGCAGGCGGAAUUCCUGGUGUAGCGGUGAAAUGCGUAGAUAUCAGGAGGAACACCGGUGGCGAAGGCGGCCUGCUGGACCGCGACUGACGUUGAGGCUCGAAAGCGUGGGGAGCGAACAGGAUUAGAUACCCUAGUA
rnacentral:rRNA from 1 species